rnacentral:rRNA from 1 species
UGCGUAGGUGGCGCCGUAAGUCGGGUGUGAAAUUUCGGAGCUCAACUCCGAAACUGCAUUCGAUACUGCGGUGCUUGAGGACUGGAGAGGAGACUGGAAUUCAUGGUGUAGCAGUGAAAUGCGUAGAGAUCAUGAGGAAGACCAGUGGCGAAGGCGGGUCUCUGGACAGUUCCUGACACUGAGGCACGAAGGCCAGGGGAGCAAACG